rnacentral:rRNA from 1 species
AGAGUUUGAUCAUGGCUCAGAACGAACGCUGGCGGCAGGCCUAACACAUGCAAGUCGAGCGCCCAGCAAUGGGAGCGGCAGACGGGUGAGUAACGCGUGGGAAUCUUCCCAGUGGUACGGAAUAGCUCAGGGAAACUUGGGGUAAUACCGUAUAAGCCCUUCGGGGGAAAGAUUUAUUGCCAUUGGAUGAGCCCGCGUUGGAUUAGCUAGUUGGUGAGGUAACGGCUCACCAAGGCGACGAUCCAUAGCUGGUCUGAGAGGAUGAUCAGCCACACUGGGACUGAGACACGGCCCAGACUCCUACGGGAGGCAGCAGUGGGGAAUAUUGGACAAUGGGCGCAAGCCUGAUCCAGCCAUGCCGCGUGAGUGACGAAGGUCUUCGGAUUGUAAAGCUCUUUUGGCGGGGACGAUAAUGACGGUACCCGCAGAAUAGC